CGGGGUAUAGUUCCCGUGGUAAGCAUUCGACUGCAAAUCGAGAGGUCCCCCGGGUUCCCAAACCCCGGGUGCCCCCU